rnacentral:lncRNA from 1 species
CCCCGAGCGACAGGGACGGAGCACCCGCGCCGUAAAUGGCUGUGCCCGCAGCGUAAGGAACACCGUCCCUCACGGGGUUUACCGUUGACGGAGUCACCCGGACGGACCCCGGGCAGGGGUGGGAGCAGAGCCCUCCGCACCGCUGCCCGCCCUGCUCCCAGGGAGAGGACGAGGCGGGGGCUCUCAGGGCCAGGCAGCCCGAAGCCCCGACGGAGGGCGAGCGGAGCAUCCAGCUGGAGGGGCCUGGGCGCAGGGGGCAGCAGGGGGUUGGGCGGAGCCAUCCGAGUUCCCACGAGGUGCGGAUCCUCCAACGACAAGUGUGCCCGUGUUUCCAGCGGGGCCGGAGGCCACACGGCAAGCAGAGCGCCUCCCGUUCACCUGCGCAGGCCUCGCACCUGUGGGGUGCGCCCCCCACGGCCAGCCCAGCACCACGACCACAGCUCCCGUCUGUGCCCCCCAAGCCGCACCGCCCGCCAGCCCGGGCCCUGGGGUAGCUGGGGGGGUGCUGACCACGUGAGAGGCCCUCCAGCAGGAGGUCAGAGGGUGUCUCUCUCCCGGCAAAGGGACUGGAGCCUCCACGUCCCUCCUCGCUGGACAGGGCGACACCAAGGAAGCAGCUGCACCCAGGCCACGAGCAUCACGGCCACACGCACGAGUGAUUUUUCCACAGGGUCCAGCUUCCCCGGGAACCUCAGGGAGGACCUCGACGGGACGCGGCUGGGAUGAGCGGGGGCCUGAGCACCCUCCCCAAGGAGGGGGGUGCGAGGCCGACUGCAUCCCCGCGGCCCCCACCCCCCACAUCACGGAGUGUAGGUGCCGCCAACGUGAGGGUUUUGUUAUUCUAAACAGGGAAGACCUCAGGGGUGGGGGAGCAGGGGCCGUGUCCGUGGGGCCGGCCCCUCCCACGGGGCCUCCUAACUCCUCGGAUGUCCGUGGGGAACCUGCUGGAAGCUCGAGCUCUGCCCCCCAAAUCACCCGUGAGCUCAGAUGCCAGCCCGGCAGCCCCUCUGGCAGCCUCGCAGGGCCCGCGACCAGGUCACGGCCUGUGCCCGCUCCCCGGCGCCCGGCGUGGUUCCAGGGUCACGCUAAGGCGGGAUGCGCCUCGGUAACCAGCUAGGACAGCAGGACGCUGUGGUCGGAGCAGCCGGACUCAUCCCGCCUGGUCAGCUGACGGGUUCCCGUUACAGCCCCGCGGCCCGGCCGGCGCGUGAGCUCGCCGCCCCGUGUGGACACACACCCCACACCGGGCAGCCGCGGGGAUCGAUCAGGAGACUGGUUUUCCUGUACAAAUGCACUUACCACGCUCAGGUUAAAAAUAGCCCGAGCCAGAG